rnacentral:rRNA from 1 species
CGCUUCACUCCUACGGGAGGCAGCAGUGGGGAAUAUUGCACAAUGGGGGAAACCCUGAUGCAGCCAUGCCGCGUGUGUGAAGAAGGCCUUCGGGUUGUAAAGCACUUUCAGUAGGGAGGAAGGUAGUGUAGUUAACACCUGCAUUAUUUGACGUUACCUACAGAAGAAGCACCGGCUAACUCCGUGCCAGCAGCCGCGGUAAUACGGAGGGUGCGAGCGUUAAUCGGAAUUACUGGGCGUAAAGCGCAUGCAGGUGGUUUGUUAAGUCAGAUGUGAAAGCCCGGGGCUCAACCUCGGAAUUGCAUUUGAAACUGGCAGACUAGAGUACUGUAGAGGGGGUAGAAUUUCAGGUGUAGCGGUGAAAUGCGUAGAGAUCUGAAGGAAUACCGGUGGCGAAGGCGGCCCCCUGGACAGAUACUGACACUCAGAUGCGAAAGCGUGGGGAGCAAACAGGAUUAGAUACCCUGGUAG